rnacentral:rRNA from 1 species
AGGCCUACCAAGCCGACGAUCUCUAGCUGGUCUGAGAGGAUGACCAGCCACACUGGAACUGAGACACGGUCCAGACUCCUACGGGAGGCAGCAGUGGGGAAUAUUGCACAAUGGGGGGAACCCUGAUGCAGCCAUGCCGCGUGAAUGAAGAAGGCCUUCGGGUUGUAAAGUUCUUUCGGUGAUGAGGAAGGGUGGUGCUUUAAUAGAGCACUACAUUGACGUUAGUCACAGAAGAAGCACCGGCUAACUCCGUGCCAGCAGCCGCGGUAAUACGGAGGGUGCGAGCGUUAAUCGGAAUGACUGGGCGUAAAGGGCACGCAGGCGGUGACUUAAGUGAGGUGUGAAAGCCCCGGGCUUAACCUGGGAAUUGCAUUUCAUACUGGGUCGCUAGAGUAUUUUAGGGAGGGGUAGAAUUCCACGUGUAGCGGUGAAAUGCGUAGAGAUGUGGAGGAAUACCGAAGGCGAAGGCAGCCCCUUGGGAACAUACUGACGCUCAUGUGCGAAAGCGUGGGGAGCAAACAGGAUUAGAUACCCUGGUAGUCCACGGUCUAAACGCUGUCGAUUUGGGGAUUGGGCUUUGUGCUUGGUGCCUGUAGCUAACGUGAUAA